GGGUAGGUAAACAAAUGAUAACAUGUCAAUCGACACAGUACAUGAACUUCUUGGGUAGGUGAACAAACGGUAAGAUGUCAAUCAACACAUCGUUUCCGUAUCAUUUCUGCAGUUUUCAAUAUUGGCGAACUCGUGUCAACGAAUUCCAACUGCUAAAUCGCCUUUUGGCCUCCAUGACGGAAUUUGGUGCUGUUUCAGCGCUGGUCAGCGCCUUAAGGGGAGGUGGCGUGGUUUGAAACCAUUUUAGUGCUGGCCAGCUGAAACGCUCUAAGGAUUGAAUGGCAGAAACCAGAAGGCGAUUUAGUUACAGUCGUCUGCGAGAGUACACAGAAUAUGCAGCCAAGUACCCAGGAUUUGCCGAGAGGGGUGCGCAGCAAUAGGUGUAUGGCAACAACUGGACACCAAACUCAUCACCACACGAGCUACAAGGCGAACAGUUUGACUUAUUUGGGGUCAAAUGCAGCCUUCCGGACCCUCCAACGAAGAUAGGGGACUACGACAAUCCCGGGACCCCCGCGGGAGGACUGUACAUUAGGAUCUCCAACAACAAGAUCGACGCAAGUAAG